AAGUACCUACGGGGGGCAGCAGUGGGGAAUAUUGGACAAUGGGGGGAACCCUGAUCCGGCGACGCCGCGUGAGUGAAGAAGUAUUUCGGUAUGUAAAGCUCUAUCAGCAGGGAAGAAAGAAAUGACGGUACCUGACUAAGAAGCCCCGGCUAACUACGUGCCAGCAGCCGCGGUAAUACGUAGGGGGCAAGCGUUAUCCGGAUUUACUGGGUGUAAAGGGAGCGUAGACGGCAAUGCAAGUCUGGAGUGAAAGGCGGGGGCCCAACCCCCGGACUGCUCUGGAAACUGUAUAGCUGGAGUGCAGG
rnacentral:rRNA from 1 species